AGGAGCGGGCGCCGCGCUGGGCCGCAUUCGCGGGGGUCGGGUGAGGGCCCGGCGGCCGGCCCGGCCCAGAUCCGCCCUCCUCGAGGCGGGUCUGCCCUUCGGGAGGGCGUGUCUGUCUUCGCCCUCGGGGCCGGCCUAGUCUAGAGGACGGGAGGGAAGUGUUUCUUCCCCGCCCCCCCAGUAAUCUUUCAGUGUUUUCAGACUGCUGGGAGAGUCCGUGUUUACCCCCACCUGAUGCAACCUCCAGCAUGGACUGCGAGUCCCUUCAGGGCGGAGACUGUCUUGCUACGUGGAGAGAUGAACGCGCUAGGAUGACCCCCGCAGUGCUGUUUGGAACAGAGAACAGAAGCCCCAUCAGCAGGGAGCAGUCAGAUGCCUCAUAGAGUAUCCUAAAUGCAGCGGAAGAUGCGAUAUUCUCAGCUGUGCAGUGACAAAGAGGCAGAGCUUCACACUGAUCCAAAAGGAUCUUUAAAACCUGUUGUUUAAAAAAAGAAAA